AUAGAGCAAAGCAAAACAAUAGAGGUCAAUCUGAAGUUAACUUAGAAAUACUUGACUAGUUGGAGUCUUUAUAGAACACAACACGAUAUGCUUGAGAUUAAAAUGUGAAGUAAAAAACUAAAGACGUACAUUCAAACACGACAUGCCUGAAUAGAGAGCAUACAUUGACAAUACACACAUAUUAUUGAGAAACUAAAUAAUUAUUCUAUGCUUGAUCACCUCCAAAAUGCUGAAAUAUAUGUUCAACCAAGUCUGCUUUGAGACGACGAUGCAUAUCUCGAUUCCGAAUAUCUUCUUCUAUCUCUAGAGCUCUAGCAAACCCAUGAAUUGGCCCAUGUCCAUAAUUUAACAGUGGCGUGGAGGUACCAUUGUCAUAGUCAUACUCGUAGUCAUCAUCAUAGAGAACUCUAAAAGUAUCCCUUUCAUCCUCCACAAUCAUGUUGUGUAAUAUAAUACAUGCAUACAUAAUCUCAGCGAGUGAUUGCACUUGCCACAUAGAGCUGGGCUUCUUAGAAUGGCAAAGCGAGCUUGCAAAACACCAAAUGCACGCUCGACAUCUUUUCUUGCUCCCUCUUGACGUUCUGCAAAUAUUUUGUCUUUGCUGCAUUGAGAACAAACAAGUUAAUACAUUGAUAGUAGCACAUUGAUACAUGAUCUGAUUCACAGGAGCAGUACAACAAUACUCAUUUAAUUUAGAGAGGUAGUACAAGUGAACUAGUCAAAGAAAAAAGAAAAUAUUUCAACUAAAAAACUGAGUAGCUAAGUAAGUCAGCACCUCUUCAUGUCGUGCCUUGGUAACUUCAUCAUAGCCUGUAGUGUCUUUAUAUAGCAACGCCAUGUACUUAUCCAUCAUCUGCAGCUUUGUCUUUCCCUUCUCAGCAUUUGCCAUUUUAUUAUCAGCUUCAGCUUUGGCUUGUGCAGCUUGUGCUUUGGCAAGGGUUGCUUCAGCCAUUUUUUCAGCAGCAAUAGCUUUUCUUAAUUGAAGUUCAUUGAAAAGGCUCACAUUUUCAUUUGAAAUAGUGUCUUCUGAAUAUACUGACUUGCCCUUUCCUUUUUGUUGAGCUUUGGAUGUAUUUCGCCCUGGUGGUCAGCACCCGGCUGCAGGGUCUGCAUCUUCGCUGUCUUGAUUUGAAGAAGAAUAAGCUCCUGAUGCAUUCAGCCUGCUUCUCUUGUUCAUCAUUUCUUCAAUUGGUACCUAUCUCCCCUUCUAUCAACUCCUUGAAUUGGAUCAUUAGAACACUUCAACCAAGCACUAACCUAAGGUUUUCCUCCUCUCCCCAAUUCACACGCCCUUCUUUCUUUUGACUUUCGUCAGGGCUGCUAUCACUCCUCUCACUCCAAUCUGCAGGGUUAGCAGGAUCUUCUUGUUGAAGUUGCUCUUGGGACACCGGAGAAGCUGAACCAACAGGGCUGCUCUCAUCAGCUCGUGAAGCACUAAUCGAUGAAUAGUUGCCGCACAGUGGUCGCUAGCGCUUGGUUCAUUGCUAGCUUGCACACUCACCGAUGCUGCUCACUCUCAAGUGCGCCCUUCCCAAGCGCCUGCUGCUCUCCUCUCUCUCCUCCAAAUCGCUGGCCCAAAUCGUCAGACCGCUAGAGACGCCCUAAGUGUUUUCGGAUGUGGGGCAAUUACAUGUGGAUCAUUUGAAUUUACAUGCUUGCAUGGCUUGUUUGGGAUGCGUGCAGGAAAUAGAUUCGGUCCGUUUAAAUGGUAAGGGAUAAUAUUCUUUUUGGUCA